GUCUGCUUGUUAUAAAAAGCAGUCUAACCUGCCCACUGAACAUUUUAAAGGCCGCGGUACUCUGACCGUGCGAAGGUAGCAUAAUAAUUAGUCCUUUAAUUGAGGACUGGAAUGAAAGGUUGAACAAAAAGUAACCUGUCUUAGCUACAGCCGUCGAACUUAACUUUUAAGUGAAAAGGCUUAAAUAAUCAAGAAGGACGAUAAGACCCUGUAAAACUUUAUAUUGCGUUUUUUAGGUCAUAAUCUAUUAGUAUAAAACAACCUAUCUUUCGUUAUAUUUCGUUGGGGUGACGAGAGUAUAAUUCCUAACUGCUCUUUUAUUACACAAAAAUUUUUGCUCCUACGAUCCCUUGUAAGGAUUUCAAGAAAAAGUUACUUCAGGGAUAACAGCGUAAUUUUUUUUAAGAGUCCAUAUCGACAAAAAAGUUUGCGACCUCGAUGUUGAAUUAAAAUCUCCAGGUAACGCAGCAGUUACCUAGGAAGGUCUGUUCGACCUUUAAAUUUUUACAUGAUUUGAGUUCAAACCGGUGCAAG
rnacentral:rRNA from 1 species